GAUGAACGCUGGCGGCGUGCUUAACACAUGCAAGUCGAACGAAGCACUUUAUUUGAUUUCCUUCGGGACUGAUUAUUUUGUGACUGAGUGGCGGACGGGUGAGUAACGCGUGGGUAACCUGCCUUGUACAGGGGGAUAACAGUUGGAAACGGCUGCUAAUACCGCAUAAGCGCACAGCAUCGCAUGAUGCAGUGUGAAAAACUCCGGUGGUAUAAGAUGGACCCGCGUUGGAUUAGCUAGUUGGUGAGGUAGCGGCCCACCAAGGCGACGAUCCAUAGCCGACCUGAGAGGGUGACCGGCCACAUUGGGACUGAGACACGGCCCAAACUCCUACGGGAGGCAGCAGUGGGGAAUAUUGCACAAUGGGCGAAAGCCUGAUGCAGCGACGCCGCGUGAGCGAAGAAGUAUUUCGGUAUGUAAAGCUCUAUCAGCAGGGAAGAUAAUGACGGUACCUGACUAAGAAGCACCGGCUAAAUACGUG
rnacentral:rRNA from 1 species